UUCAUGACUGAUCCUUUUUCGAGAAAUGACAAUCAAUAUUGUAGGUUGAAAUCAACCUAUUACAAACAAUUUUAUUCACAAACAGACUUGUGUUUCAUGACUGAUCCUUUUUCGAGAAAUGACAAUCAAUAUUGUAGAUUGAAAUCAACCUAUUACAAACAAUUUUAGUC